rnacentral:rRNA from 1 species
GACGAACGCUGGCGGCGUGCUUAACACAUGCAAGUCGAACGGAAAGGCCCUGCUUUUUUGGUGUGCUCGAGUGGCGAACGGGUGAGUAACACGUGAGUAACCUGCCCUUGACUUUGGGAUAACUUCAGGAAACUGGGGCUAAUACCGUAUAGGAGCUCCUGCUGCAUGGUGGGGGUUGGAAAGUUUCGGCGGUUGGGGAUGGACUCGCGGCUUAUCAGCUUGUUGGUGGGGUAGUGGCUUACCAAGGCUUUGGCGGGUAGCCGGCCUGAGAGGGUGACCGGCCACAUUGGGACUGAGAUACGGCCCAGACUGCUACGGGAGGCAGCAGUGGGGAAUAUUGCACAAUGGGCGGAAGCCUGAUGCAGCAACGCCGCGUGCGGGAUGACGGUCUUCGGGUUGUAAACCGCUUUCGCCUGUGACGAAGCGUGAGUGACGGUAAUGGGUAAAGAAGCACCGGCUAACUACGUG